CCUGGGGGAAUGCGGCAGGGGGGACCCGGGUCAAGGCUCACCAUCGCUGCCCUGGGAUAGUGCGCGCCAGGCUGGGCGAGGGCAGGGCGCCGGGGCAGGUGCUCACGAACCACACACUACGGCAAGGCCAGGAGGGCCGUGUUUCCCACAGUGGAGCCCCUGCCGCACAGACAAGAGGGUCAGGGACGGAAGCACCGCGCGCAACCAGCAGUUCCAGACUCGGUCCCUCUGGACAAGAUGGACAAGGCUUUCUAGGAAAAGCCGUGAAACUGGAGCGCAGACGACUCAGCUGAGGUGAAAAUCUAUUGCCAUGCAUAGUAGAGGCUGUACUGAUCAAAGCGGGUAAUAAAACACGUAUGAUCAAAACAUCACACUUGCUGUAAGAAAAAUGCAUAUUUAGGCAGACAGAUCUAGAAGGACGUGCAUCAAGAUGUUAAAACUAGUCGCCUAUAGGAAGGAAGGAGAAGAAUACUUUUGCCUCUGUAUUUUCUAAUUGUCUAGAAGGUACCACACCCUGCUCCGUAAUAAUACAAAAGUUGUAUUUUGAUUUGAAAACAAAACGUCAAAAAAAGUUACCGGACCAAGGCAACCUAGGUGAGCAUUUUGAGAAAAUAGGGGAAACUGGUCUAUACUGGAAUAUAAACCGUACUGAAACACAGUGACCCAUCAGCACUUGAAGUAACAGUACGACCCAAGAACCAUGUGCGUUAGAAUCAGCUGGAGAAAAAUGAACAGAGUUCUCGUGCCCUGCCUCGAUCCACGGACUCCAAAUCUCCGAAGAGAACCCACACAUUGGCAUUUCUUACCAGUCCUCCCCGCCCACAGCUGGCGCACGACGCCCUGACAUUUGAGAACCCCACGCGGUGACACACACAAUCUGUCCUACGCCAAACUGCACCAGACAACUGUCACCACCGUCGUUCUCUGGCUACUCAGGGGAGCAACAGAAAACCCAGGACUGGAUGCACGGAACAGCGGCUGAAAAGUCCAUCCAUUUUUACAACUGAAGAUACUCCAGUGCUGGUAUGCCCUGAGGACUCUGUCCUGCGCUCCCAGUCAGGGCGAGCUCGUGCACCCUUUCCAGUAGUCGGGAGCCUUAGAAAGCUUCCUAUGUUUAACCUGGCGACUGUACUUCUAAGGAUCUAUCCUUACAAAACGUCCGAAACAAAGACAAGACUUGACACAAACCGGCCAGCCCGAACCGAGCCAGGAAAAAGGUGAAGGUCUAGGACGGAGGAAAACCAAAGAUCAGGCCCUACUGGGCCAGGUCGAUGGCAACAACCGCCCGGACCUGAGUAGCAUCUACUUCUUUAGACAGCGAGGCCCUGGCCCGUCCGCCUCACGCCCGGCUCGCCUACUCGCUUCUGCUGCACACCUAUUACCUGCCGUCCCACACUAUCCAACGUCUCCCGCCUCAGCAAAAGGAGAGGGUGGGCAACGAGCAGUGACAAUACGAGGCUCUGCAGCAUCCCGCUGUCCCUCAUAAACACAAAGGGAAAAACGGUGUCGAGACAGCUGGCCCCUCGGGGGCCAGAGCAGAGCGACCCCCAGCUCACAGCUGGCUCCCCGCGACACUGGAGAUGAAAGCCCGGCACCUACAAGUGGCCUUCGGGGCCGGUGCUGUGACCCGCCCGGUCGAUGCGCCUCGUCCCCUCCCUGCUCCGUGUGCUGCCUUCCCACCACAGCCCCCUCUACGGCGUCUCCGCCACCAGGCUCGGAGACGCGCACUCGGUGGCCUCUGGCCUCACGACUGGCCCCACGCUCGCUGCCUUCUCCUGCCAGGAAUCCACUGAAGCGUCUCCUCCCUGACAGGCCUUCCCUGACCGCCCUACCUAAGUAUGUCACCCCUCCACAGCCCCCCACUCCCCACCUCACCUCCUACUCUGACCCUUCUCAGCACCUACCGCUCUCAGCAACCACACCACAGCUGCUUGUUGACUGUGUCUGGGCGCCAGGCUCUAAGCCAUUCCUCGUGGAGGAACCUCCGGCCUCCAGCACAGCGUGACACGUCACGUGUGCAACAGACAUCUGAAGGCCGACAGACUGAAUGAGCGAGCGAGCGAGCGACGGUGGGAAAUAGCACAGACACCCCCCGCCCGUGACCCCUGACUUCUGCUUACCUCUUCCGCUUCUUCUUCUGAGUCAACCACGGGGAAGUCUUGCAGGGACUGAGUGGUACGCUCAGAGCCGUAAGCGCCCACGGCACCUUUGCCCUUUCUCUGUCUGGCUUCGAUUGGGUUAAUGAUACCUGACAGAUUUCAGCAAAAGGUAAAAAGAUUUCAGAUGGUCA